CGNNNAAAANNAANGGUUNCNUUUGGUCCUAGUCUUAUUAUCAGCUACUACUUAACUUACACAUGCAAGUCUCAGCGACCCAGUUGAGAACGCCCUUAAACCUGCGAGGAGAAGGAGCUGGUAUCAGGCACAGCACUCUAGCCCACAACACCUAACAUCGUCACACCCCCAAGGGUAUUCAGCAGUGAUUAACAUUGAUAGUAAGCGACAGCUUGACCCAGUUAAAGUAAAUAAAGUUGGCCAAUUCGGUGCCAGCCGCCGCGGCUACACCGUAAGACUUAAGUUGAUAAUCAACGGCGUUAAACGUGUUUUAAGUAACCAAAAAUUAGAAUUAAACCAAAGCCAUAUCGUGAUAAUUAUGCUCAACAGAAAUACUGAACGAAAGUCAUUCUAAUUAAUCACUUGAAUCCACGACAGUUAAGAAACAAACUGGGAUUAGAUACCCCACUAUGCUUAACCGUAAAAUGUAUACUCACACCUUAAUAGCCAGGAUAGUACGAGCGCAUGCUUAAAAUUCAAAGGACUUGACGGUGUCCCACCCGACUAGAGGAGCCUGUUCUAUAAUCGAUAAUCCCCGAUAAACCCAACCACUUUUAGCUUAUCAGUCUGUAUACCUCCGUCGCAAGCUUAUCGUAUGAAUGGUAUUAAAUAAGCGAGAAGAUCAUUACACCAAUACGUCAGGUCAAGGUGCAGCCCACAAAGUGGUGAGAAAUGGGCUACAAUUUCUAAUUUAGAACACACGGAAAAAAUUUAUAUGAAAAAUUGUUUGAAGGCGGAUUUAGCAGUAAAGGGUAAAUAAAGUGUACCCUUUAAUUUGGCACUGGGACGCGUACACACCGCCCGUCACCCUCUUUGAUCAAAAUAACCUAGUUAAUAACAAUACUACAGCUCAUGAAAAGAGGCAAGUCGUAACAUGGUAAGCAUACUGGAAAGUGUGCUUGGAUUAACAAAAUAUAGCUUAAACAAAGCACUUCGCUUACACCGAAAACAUAUCUGUUUUAGUCAGAUUAUUUUGAGCCCUAAAUUCCGCCUUCCUCCCCACACUUUUCUCACCAUACCCAAUUUACCAGAUGAAACAUCUUAUCAACCAAGUAAAGGCGAACGAAAAUUUAAUAAGAGCCGUAUAUGAAGUACCGCAAGGGAAAAAUGAAAUAGAAAUGAAAUAAACAAAAAGCAAACAAAAGCAGAGAUUAACACUUGUACCUUUUGCAUCAUGGUCUAGCUAGUCUUAACAAGCAAAUUAUAUUAUUAAGCCUGUACUCCCGAAACUAGCGCGAGCUACUUAAAAACAGCCUUAAGGGCCAACCCGUCUCUGUUGCAAAAGAGUGGGAAGAUUUUUAAGUAGAAGUGACAUGCCUAUCGAGCCUAGAAAUAGCUGGUUGCUCAAGAAAAGAACUUCAGUUCUGCCUCAAAUACCAACAUAACAUUUAAUAUAUAUAUUUGAGAGUUAUUCAAAUACGGUACAGCCUAUUUGAUGUUGAAUACAAUCAAAAAGCCCGGGUAAUGCAACUUACUGCUUAGUCAAGUUGGCCUAAAAGCAGCCACCUUAAAUAGCGUCACAGCUUAAUUAAUAUGUUCAUCAAUCUCCUCAACUAUGCAAAACCCUACCCUCCUAUUGAGCACUUUUAUAUUUUAUAAAAGAUAUUAUGCUAGAACUAGUAACAAGAAUUAAUCUCCAAAAUGUAAGUAUACCUCAAACAUGAAUAUUAUUACUGAGUAAUAACUCCACCCUAGAAACCCCUACUAAUUCCCGACAUUAAACUUACACAAGAACACUUCUGGAAAGAUUAAAACAAAAAGAAGGAACUCGGCAAAUUUUAGUCUCGACUGUUUACCAAAAACAUUACCUCUUGAUCAAACAUAAGAGGCCACGCCUGCCCAGUGAUCAUUUCAACGGCCACGGUACCCUAACCGCGCGAAGGUAGCACAAUCACUUGUUCUCUAAAUAAGGACCGGUAUGAACGGCAUCACGAAGACUAUACUGUCUCCUUUCUGUAAUCAGUGAAACUGAUCCCCCCGUGAAAAAGCGGGGAUUAUACUACAAGACGAGAAGACCCCAUGGAGCUUUAAGAAAAUAGCAACUGCCACUAAAACAACACAGAAAAUAUGACAGACCUGACUAUCAACUUUAGGUUGGGGAGACCAUGGAGUAAAACAAAACCUCCACACUGAACGGGCCAGGCCCUAAUUUAAGAACCACAACUCCAAAAAUCAACAUAUUGACAUUUAUUGAUCCAAACCCUUGAUUAAUGAACCAAGUUACCCUGGGGAUAACAGCGCAAUCCAUUUCAAGAGCCCCUAUCGACAAAUGGGUUUACGACCUCGAUGUUGGAUCAGGGUAUCCCAGUGGUGCAGCCGCUACUAAAGGUUGUUGUUCACAAUUAAACCUACGUGAUCUGA
rnacentral:ncRNA from 1 species